rnacentral:piRNA from 1 species
ACAGGCCUGAGUGAGGGUAGGAUAGGG